rnacentral:rRNA from 1 species
CAUCCCAGUUCGGAUUGCAGGCUGAAACCCGCCUGUAUGAAGUUGGAAUCGCUAGUAAUCGCGGAUCAGCAUGCCGCGGUGAAUACGUUCCCGGGCCUUGUACACACCGCCCGUCACACCAUGAGAGUCGGGAACACCCGAAGUCCGUAGUCUAACCGCAAGGGGACGCGGCCGAAGGUGGGUUCGAUAAUUGGGGUGAAGUCGUAACAAGGUAAC